rnacentral:rRNA from 1 species
UACCAGCACCCCGAGUGGUCGGGACGUUUAUUGGGCCUAAAGCAUCCGUAGCCGGUUCUGCAAGUCCCCCGUUAAAUCCAGCUGCUCAACAGAUGGGCCGCGGAGGAUACUACAGAGCUAGGAGGCAGGAGAGGCAAGCGGUACUCGGUGGGUAGGGGUAAAAUCCGUUGAUCCAUUGAAGACCACCAGUGGCGAAGGCGGCUUGCCAGAAUGCGCUCGACGGUGAGGGAUGAAAGCUGGGGGAGCAAACCGG